rnacentral:rRNA from 1 species
AUUGAACGCUGGCGGCAGGCCUAACACAUGCAAGUCGAACGAGUGGCGGACGGGUGAGUAAUGUCUGGGAAACUGCCUGAUGGAGGGGGAUAACUACUGGCAACGGUUGCUACUACCUCAUACCAUCAGAUGUGCCCAGAUGGGAUUAGUGUGUUGGUGGGGUAACGGCUCACCAAGGCGACGAUCCCUAGCUGGUCUGAGAGGAGGACCAGCCACAUUGGAACUGGGACACGGACCAGACGCCUACGGGAGGCAGCAGUGGGGUAUAUUGCACAAUGGGGGCAAGCCUGAUACAGCCAUGCCGCGUGUAUGAAGAAGGCCUUCGGGUUGUAAAGUACUUUCAGCGGGGAGGCGGUACACGCAGAAGAAGCACCGGCUAACUCCGUGCCAGCAGCCGCGGUAAUUC